UUAAGCGUUGUUCGGAAUUAUUGGGCGUAAAGCGCGUGUAGGCGGCUUUUCAAGUCCGAUGUGAAAGCCCGGGGCUCAACCCCGGAAGUGCAUUGGAAACUGGGAAGCUUGAGUACGGGAGAGGGAGGUGGAAUUCCGAGUGUAGGGGUGAAAUCCGUAGAUAUUCGGAGGAACACCGGUGGCGAAGGCGGCCUCCUGGACCGAUACUGACGCUGAGACGCGAAAGCGUGGGGAGCAAACAGGAUUAGAUACCCUGGUAGUCCACGCCGUAAACGAUGGG
rnacentral:rRNA from 1 species